rnacentral:lncRNA from 1 species
CUCCAGGACCUUAUUGUCUUCCAGACACCCAACAGACGUUCUUAAGCAAAGUCAUCAAUUCCAUUGCUCCACCCUAUGUCAAGUGACCAACAUAUAUUGUUUGGAAUUGUUAAAAUAAAGGUUAUGCAUGA